rnacentral:rRNA from 1 species
GACGAACGCUGGCGGCGUGCUUAACACAUGCAAGUCGAGCGGAAAGGCCUGCUUUCCCUUGUGGAUUGCGGGUACUCGAGUGGCGAACGGGUGAGUAGCACGUGAGUGAUCUGCCCCCAACUUGGGUAUAAGCCUGGGAAACUGGGUCUAAUUCCCGAUAGGACUGCAGGGUGGUGCCUGUGGUGGAAAACGAUUUUCUAGUGGUUGGGGAUGAGCUCGCGGCCUAUCAGCUUGUUGGUGGGGUAAUGGCCUACCAAGGCGGCGACGGGUAGCCGGCCUGAGAGGGUGGACGGCCACAUUGGGACUGAGAUACGGCCCAGACUCCUACGGGAGGCAGCAGUGGGGAAUAUUGCACAAUGGGCGGAAGCCUGAUGCAGCGACGCCGCGUGGGGGAUGACGGCCUUCGGGUUGUAAACUCCUUUCGACCGCGAGGAAGCCACCUGGUUGGAAGGGUGGUGACGGUAGUGGUAGAAGAAGCACCGGCUAACUACGUG